UACGGAGGUGGCAAGCGUUACUCGGAUUGAUUGGGUGUAAAGGGUGUGUAGGCGGUGGAUUAAGUCGAAUGUGAAAUACCUUGGCUCAACCAAGGAACUGCAUUCGAAACUGACUCACUUGAGUGAUGGAGAGGAAAAUGGAAUUCCCGGUGUAACAGUGAAAUGUGUAGAUAUCGGGAGGAACACCAGUGGCGAAGGCGAUUUUCUGGCCAUCUACUGACGCUGAAACACGAGAGCUAGGGGAGCAAACAGG
rnacentral:rRNA from 1 species